AGUGAACGCUGGCGGUAGGCCUAACACAUGCAAGUCGAACGGCAGCACAGUAAGAGCUUGCUCUUACGGGUGGCGAGUGGCGGACGGGUGAAGAAUACAUCGGAAUCUACUUUUUCGUGGGGGUUAACGUAGGGAAACUUACGCUAAUACCGCAUACGACCUACGGGUGAAAGCAGGGGAUCUUCGGACCUUGCGCGAUUGAAUGAGCCGAUGUCGGAUUAGCUAGUUGGCGGGGUAAAGGCCCACCAAGGCGACGAUCCGUAGCUGGUCUGAGAGGAUGAUCAGCCACACUGGAACUGAGACACGGUCCAGACUCCUACGGGAGGCAGCAGUGGGGAAUAUUGGACAAUGGGCGCAAGCCUGAUCCAGCCAUACCGCGUGGGUGAAGAAGGCCUUCGGGUUGUAAAGCCCUUUUGUUGGGAAAGAAAAGCAGCAGGUUAAUACCCCGCUGUUCUGACGGUACCCAAAGAAUAAGCACCGGCUAACUUCGUG
rnacentral:rRNA from 1 species